rnacentral:lncRNA from 1 species
CGGGGUGUUCUCGCGGGGUCUGGACGUCGCGCGACGACUCGAGUUUUGGAUGGUGUUUGGAGCGGGGUGUGACCGCGAGGUCUUAAGGUCGCGCGUCAAUUUGAGAAACGGACACAAAAUGUUUAGCGCGGGGUGUGGCCGCGAGGUACCAACGUCGCUCCCGUAACCCAGGUAUGAUUUUUUGACCCAAAACCCGAUGACCCGACCCGACCUACGCCUACCCUACCCCGCGCCCGUUUCUCUCUCUCUCGUUCUCUUCUCUUCUUCCCCAAAACACAAACACA